GCUAUAUGAUCUUCUUCUUUUUCGCCUUAUUUUGGCCUCUCUCUCGAUUUUCUUUGUUGAUUUUGGUUUAGCUUUUGGGUUUCGGUGCUGCAUCUCAUCACCCUAAAGUUCAAAUAACAUUCUAUCACUGUCUUCUUAUCUGUUGAAUAAUAGAAAUUUGAUUGUAUAUUUUUUUUCUAUUGAUAAGUCUAAUUUAGUAAUAGUUCAUUCGUGUAAGCUUUGCUUUUUAUUACAAAUUGUCAUGUUGGAUUAAAUUGAGGUGUUAAAUUUAUACUCAGUGGCCACAUAAGAGCUUUCGCCUUGCCAGGCUUGAGAGCUUGUGCUGCUCAAUUCUUCCUUGGAAGCCUGAGAAAGGUGUAUUUCCUUUUUUUUAUGAUCCUGAAUGUGAGUUUGAUCAAUUGAAUUUAGAGAUUUGGAAAUCUAUGGCUUUAGUCCUAUUUGUUCUUGUUUCCAAUGAUGACAAAUCCUAAGGCCUGUUUCUCAAAACAUUCGCAGUGGCCGCCUGAGAGCUUUCGCCUUGCCAGGCUUGAGAGCUUGUGCUGCUCAAUUCUUCCUUGGAUGUCUGAGGAAGGAAGUUGUAUUUUAUCCUAAUUGUGAUUGGAAUUUAUAACAAUUGAAUUGAUUGGGUUUGGAAUUUAUAGCUUUGUUGUUAUUUUUGCUUAAUUACUAUGAUGACAAAUUAUAGGCUUGUUUCUCAAAACAUUCACAGUUGCCGCCUGAGAGCUUUUGCCUUGCCAUGCUUGACAGCUUGUGUUGCUCAGUUUUUUCUUGGAUGUCUAAGAAAGUGGCCGCCUGAGAGCUUUCGCCUUGCCAGGCUUGAGAGCUUGUGCUGCUCAAUUCUUCCUUGGAUGUCUGAGGAAGGAAGUUGUAUUUUAUCCUAAUUGUGAUUGGAAUUUAUAACAAUUGAAUUGAUUGGGUUUGGAAUUUAUAGCUUUGUUGUUAUUUUUGCUUAAUUACUAUGAUGACAAAUUAUAGGCUUGUUUCUCAAAACAUUCACAGUUGCCGCCUGAGAGCUUUUGCCUUGCCAUGCUUGACAGCUUGUGUUGCUCAGUUUUUUCUUGGAUGUCUAAGAAAGUGGCCGCCUGAGAGCUUUCGCCUUGCCAGGCUCGAGAGCUUGUGCUGCUCAAUUCUUCCUUGGAUGUCUGAGGAAGGAAGUUGUAUUUUAUCCUAAUUGUGAUUGUGAUUUAUAACAAUUGAAUUGAUUGGGUUUGGAAUUUAUAUCUUUCUUGUUAUUUUUGCUUAAUUACUAUGCUGGCAAAUUAUAGGCUUGUUUCUCAAAACAUUCGCAGUUGCCGCCUGAGAGCUUUUGCCUUGCCAUGCUUGACAGCUUGUGCUGCUCAGUUCUUUCUUGGAUGUCUAAGAAAGUUGCCACCUGAGAGCUUUUGCCUUGCCAAGCUUGAGAGCUUGUGCUGCUCAAUUCUUCCUUGGAUGUCUGAGAAAGUGGCCGCCUGAGAGCUUUCGCCUUGCCAGGCUCGAGAGCUUGUGCUGCUCAAUUCUUCCUUGGAUGUCUGAGGAAGGGAAUUAUAUUUUAUCCUAAUUGUGAUUGUGAUUUAUAACAAUUGGAUUGAUUGGAUUUCGAAUUUAUAGCUUUGUUGUUAUUUUUGCUUAUUUUCUAUGAUCACAAAUUCUAAGCUUGUUUCUCAAAACAUUCGCAGUUGCCACCUGAGAGCUUUUGCCUUGCCAGGCUUGAGAGCUUGUGUUGCUCAAUUCUUCCUUGGGAUGUUUGAGAAAGGUGAAUUGUAAGCCUGUUUCGCAUUGGCUGCCUGAGAGCUUUCUCUUUGCCAGGCUUGAGAGCUUUUGCUGCUCAAUUCUUCCUUGGAUGUCUCAGGAUGGAAGUUGUAUUUUAUCCUAAUUGUGAUUUUCAUCAAUUAUGUCUUUUAUGGGUUUGUUGCUGUUUGUGUUUGUUUUCAUAUAUGUCAAUUAGCAAGGUAUUCUCAAAACAUUCUUAGUGGCCGCGUAAGAACUUUUGGCUUUACAGGCUCUAGAGUUUGUGCUGAAAGUGUUUCUCAUAAUGUUUUCAGUGCAGAAAGAACUUCUGAUUUUCUAA